CCUACGGGAGGCAGCAGUGGGGGAUAUUGCACAAUGGGGGAAACCCUGAUGCAGCGACGCCGCGUGGGUGAAGGAGGGCUUCGGCAUGUAAAGCCCUAUCCGCAGGGAAGAAGCAAGACGGUACCUGACUAAGAAGCCCCGGCUAACUACGUGCCAGCAGCCGCGGUAAUACGUAGGGGGCGAGCGUUAUCCGGAUUCACUGGGUGUAAAGGGAGCGUAGACGGCCAGGCAAGCCAGGGGUGAAAGCCAGGGGCCCAACCCGGGGACUGCACUUGGAACUGCAUUGCUGGAGUGCGGGAGGGGCAGGCGGAAGUCCUGGUGUAGCGGUGAAAUGCGGAGAUAUCAGGAGGAACACCGGGGGCGAAGGCGGCCUGCUGGACCGUGACGGACGUUGAGGCUCGAAAGCGUGGGGAGCGAACAGGAUUAGAUACCCGGGUAGUC
rnacentral:rRNA from 1 species